CUCUCUUUAAGUUAAGGGGUAGCUUCUGCUCCAUGAUUCAUUUAAAUAGCCGCAGUAUCUUGACUGUGCUAAGGUAGCAAAAUAAUUUGUCUUUCAAUUAGAGGCGGGAAUGAAGGAAGGGACGACGCUUAAGCUAUCCUAGGAGUUUGGAAUUGAAAUUGAUACCUACAUUAAAAAGUGUAACUUUUUGAAGGGACGAGAAGACCCUAUAAAACUUUACCUAGGGUUAUAAGUUUUGUAUUUUGUUAUAGAAAUAUUAGCUUGGGUUAGGCUGGGGCGGCAUCUAACUCGAACUUUAGGACAUUUAAACACAGUUAAGUGAAGUUAAAGAUCUUUUCUAAAGGAUAUAUAGAAUAAGUUACUUUAGGGAUAACAGCACAAUUUUUUCGUAUAGAUCUUAUAGAAGAAAGAGACUUGUGACCUCGAUGUUGAAUUUGGAGGGCCUGAAGUGAGCAGAAAUAUUUUUAGGGAGUCUGUUCGACUUUUAAUUCUUC
rnacentral:rRNA from 2 species